CAUAAGUGCCAGAUUAGAUGGGUUGGUUUUAAGCGCCAAUUAUGUGAGUGUCUCUCCUUGU
rnacentral:tRNA from 1 species